UGACGUCACGCUCGGGUAGAGUGGCGACGCCCAGGAACGGGUUUGCAGGAGGCCCCGGUCGGGUGAAGUGCUGGUGGCUCAGGUCCGGAACCCGACUUCCGUUUUCAACUCCCGGUGCGGUGGCCGACCUUCUCCUGGCGUCGCUUCCUGGAAC
rnacentral:lncRNA from 1 species